rnacentral:rRNA from 1 species
UACGUAGGGUGCAAGCGUUAAUCGGAAUUACUGGGCGUAAAGCGUGCGCAGGCGGUUGUGCAAGACAGAUGUGAAAUCCCCGGGCUCAACCUGGGAACUGCAUUUGUGACUGCACAGCUUGAGUGCGGCAGAGGGGGAUGGAAUUCCGCGUGUAGCAGUGAAAUGCGUAGAUAUGCGGAGGAACACCGAUGGCGAAGGCAAUCCCCUGGGCCUGCACUGACGCUCAUG